rnacentral:rRNA from 1 species
GCAGUCGCCACGGUAAUGCGAAGGGUGCAAGCGUUGUCCGGAUUUAUUGGGCGUAAAGAGCUCGUAGGCGGUUUGUCGCGUCGAAUGUGAAAGCCCGGGGCUCAACUCCGGGUCUGCAUUCGAUACGGGCAGACUAGAGUUCGGUAGGGGAGACUGGAAUUCCUGGUGUAGCGGUGAAAUGCGCAGAUAUCAGGAGGAACACCGGUGGCGAAGGCGGGUCUCUGGGCCGAUACUGACGCUGAGGAGCGAAAGCGUGGGGAGCAAACAGGAUUAGAUACCCCCGUAGUCCCUGUCUCUUAUAC